rnacentral:lncRNA from 1 species
AUUGUUACCGAAGCCACCGGGGGUGCCGUACGACGACAUGUCGGGAUGCUGUAGAGGGAUGAUUUUAAUGGUCCGAGGAGUCGGCAUAGUGGAUCCGGAAGCGGCGGUCGAAGAGCGCAAUAAGUCGCCGGCACUCGGGGAUGCGUAGGUUAUCUCCAUUCCCGCACUGGCACUCGAGGAUGCGUAGGUUAUCUCCAUUCCCGCACUAUCGGAGCAUCGUAUGAUUGAGAAACCACGGGAUUCUUUUAACGAGCAGUUUUAGUGGCCGUUGGCGUAGGCGCGGUUGCGUUUCGUGGCGCAAGUUGAGGAUGGGGAAGCUUCGUAUAUAUUAUGAGGUGAAAAUGAAAAUCGAAACAGGUGCCCGGGGCCCGCCAGUGUGACGUUAUCAGGAUAAAAACUAAAAGAAAUU